UUGGCUACUAUGCCAGCUGGUGGAUUGCUCGGCUCAGGCGCUGAUGAAGGACGUGCCAAGCUGCGAUAAGCCAUGGGGAGCCGCACGGAGGCGAAGAACCAUGGAUUUCCGAAUGAGAAUCUCUCUAACAAUUGCUUCGCGCAAUGAGGAACCCCGAGAACUGAAACAUCUCAGUAUCGGGAGGAACAGAAAACGCAACGUGAUGUCGUCAGUAACCGCGAGUGAACGCGAUACAGCCCAAACCGAAGCCCUCACGGGCAAUGUGGUGUCAGGGCUACCUCUCAUCAGCCGACCGUCUCG
rnacentral:rRNA from 1 species